AAAGAGCCGAGGGGAGAGAGGGUGCGCAGACGGCCAGCCGGGCCGCGCCAGGGACAUACUGGAGACAGGAAGUGGCUGAGAGGGGGAGAGAGUUGGAGAGAGACGGCCGCGGAGGACACGGGGACGGGAAAGUCUGAGAGACGGGGAGAGCCUGACCCGGCGGGACACAGGCAGAAAGAAACACGCGAGCCAGACAGACGCAGAAGAAACGGUGGGCUGCCUGGUACUGGAUAGGAACUUCAUGGAAUGGAGCUAAUGGGCCGUAGGGCAGGUUUGAGUCGUGCCACCCUGGAGCAGAAGGUGGAGGGUAGGGAUAAGGGUGGAGAGAAACUAGGAGAAAAGCACAGGAUGUAGAGGUCUAUUCGGCAUAAUCUUCUCCCUCAUUUUCAUCUUCACCAUCAACAGAGAGAGCAGCAUACUUGCUUGCAGAACUGAACUUCUGUAACACAACGAGAGUGACAGGAUAAUGAAGGCCCUGAAUUAUCACAUCAAAACCCAAGACACAGGAUACUGAUCCUUUGGCAAUGGGGGAUGACAGUCAGAUGACACCCACUUGCUUGCUCAUCAGCAUUGUCCAUUGGAGAGGAGCUAGGGAAGAGGGUCAGAGGCACAUGCGAUCUUACUAUAGUCUCAUACCACCUCUACACCUUGCAGAAGGGAUGAGAACAAAGGAAGACAGAAACCAGGAAAAAGCUAAACUUCUUUCGCUAUUUCAGUAAAGACCAAUGUCUUAUUUCCAAACACUUUGUAUUCCAAAUGGAAAGAAGUCCAACGGCAAAAAGUUUAGAAUACUAAGAAUUUUUAAUUCUUAGUAAGAAUACUUAGAAUUCUAAGAAUUUUUCUUAGAAUGAAAAAUUGGGAGCAGCCUUCAACACUUACGGAAGCUGGAUUUUCCUCAGGUUUCUUUGGCUCAGGUGCAGAUCUGGAGUCUUGAUCCUUUUUGCCAUCUUUCCUGCAGAGACGUAAGCAUAAAACCAUGUCUUUAGGAAAGGACUCGCCUAAUACAAACAUGUGUAUGCAUGCAGUUUCAAGGCACUGAACAGGCACCUCUAGUCAACAGUCCUUGUUGUCUGGAUGAUGUAUUACUUCUAGAUUUUCAGAAUCUUAACUGUCUACGUUGGCUGACUUUAGUUUGCUCACAAUGAGCGAUCUGGCAGUGCUCUGAGAACCAAGAACUUAAUUUCUUAAUUACACAAACAUGUGGAUCAGAGGAAAGAUGAGAAAGAGAACAAGCAUACCUAUCUGACUCCUUCCAGUGGUCUCUGUUCCCUCCGUCGCCUGGACCACGGCUAGAGUUCCCAGUUUGGCCUUUUGGGGCAUUCAUCCCAUCUACUUUAUUUUCAUCUGCUUGGGCAGUAAUGUAAACAAAUUAAAGGCAAGUAAAAGUAUCAAUGUCCCUCUCCUAAGAUUUCCCUUAAGCUGAAGAAAAUUGUGCCCACAUGUACUGAGGGAAACUAACCUCACCCCAACCCAGACUUCCUUCCUGAAGCCCUUCUUUCCACAUCCUCUACAGCACACAAAAAUACAAAAAACAAACAAAAUCCACUAAAAAGUUCCAUGUAGGGAUAUGCCAUCAUGAAAAGCAAGCUGGAAAUAAAGAUUAUGACGCUCUGUAGUGA
ensembl:lncRNA TNS2-AS1 TNS2 antisense RNA 1